rnacentral:rRNA from 1 species
UACGGAAGGGGGCUAGCGUUGUUCGGAAUACUGGGCGUAAAGCGUGCGCAGACGGUUGCGUAAGUCAGAUGUGAAAGCCCCGGGCUCAACCUGGGAAUUGCAUUUGAGACUGCGUAGCUAGGGUGCGGAAGAGGGAAGCGGAAUUUCCGGUGUAGCGGUGAAAUGCGUAGAUAUCGGAAGGAACACCAGUGGCGAAAGCGGCUUCCUGGUCCAGCACCGACGUUCAGGCACGAAAGCCGUGGG